rnacentral:rRNA from 1 species
UACGUAGGUGGCGAGCGUUGUCCGGAUUUACUGGGCGUAAAGGGCGUGCAGGCGGUUUGUUAAGUGCAGGGUGAAAGCUCCCGGCUCAACUGGGAGAGGUCCUUGCAUACUGGCGAACUCGAGGGAGGCAGAGGAAAGUGGAAUUCCCGGUGUAGUGGUGAUAUGCGUAGAUAUCGGGAGGAACACCUGUGGCGAAGGCGGCUUUCUGGGCCUUACCUGACGCUGAGACACGAAAGCGUGGGUAGCAAACAGG